AGUGAACGCUGGCGGUAGGCCUAACACAUGCAAGUCGAACGGCAUCACAGUCAGAGCAUGCUCCUACGGGUGGCGAGUGGCGGACGGGUGCGGAAUACUACCGCAUCUACUUUUUCGCGGGGGACAACGUAGGGAAACUUACGCCAAUACCGCAUACGACCUACGGGUGUAAGCAGCGGAUCUUCGGACCUUGAGCCAUUGAUUGAUCCGCUGUCGGAUUAGCUAGUUGGCGGGGUAAAGGCCCACAAAGGCGCCGUUCCGUAGCUGGUCUGAGAGGAUGAUCGCCCACCCUGGAACUGGGACACGCUCCGGACUCCUCCGGAAGGCAGCAGUGGGGAAUAUUGGACAAGGGGAGCAGUCCUGAUGCGGCCAGACCGGGUGGUUGAAGAAGGCCUUCGGGUUGUAAAGCCCUUUUGUAGGGAAAGAAAAGCAGCAGGUUAAUACCCCGCUGUUCUGACGGUACCCAAAGAAUAAGCACCGGCUAACUUCGUG
rnacentral:rRNA from 1 species